AGAACUCUGUUCUCGUGUUCUUUUGUUUCCAAGUGCUUAUAAUGCAUGUAGACCUUGUUCUUCGUGAUCCUGCUGUGCGAUUGAUUGGUCACAGAGUUUUAAAUUCAGGAAAGAAUGUUACCAGCUCAAAUUCCAAGGAUUUUUUUCCACAGCAAAGAAUAUUUGAUAAUGGUUGCACUUAUCUUCAAUACAGGCUAGGAAAGAGUUCUCAACCAGGCUUAACUGGAGUGGUCUCAGAAAGCCCUCACAGGCUCUGGUAAAACAUAGGUAAAAAUGGGUGAUUAUGAUGGACAUUCACCUGCCCUGGAAAGCCAGGGUGUGAGAUGGGUGUCUGGGAAUGGUGCCAUGGAAGUGGCAAUUCUGCUUCUUGUAAAUACCUCCAAAGUGCCACCUGUCUCAGCAGAAACUCUCAGAUGGGCACAGUGCUAGCUAGGUAAGCACAGGGCACUCCCGAGCCAGUGGCUCUGCCACCCUGCAGGAAGCCCUCUUGGCCUAGUUUCCUGGCAUAGGUUGAGGCACAGCUUGGAGGGUGGUCAGACCUGCUUGGGCUUCUCUGCUUUUUAAAUGGCCUAGCUCUGUGGCCUGUGCUGUCAUUGCUUUGAUUGCCUCACUUUCCUUCGGGGCUCUGAGUUUCCUUCGGGUUGCCCUUCUAUCACAUGUGCGAGGGAUGGAUUUCUCAGCCGGACUAAUGCUGCCCAAGACAAGUGUAUCUGUCCACAUUAGCCAUUUUGGUUGAUUCCAACAGGUGAGACUUGCUUUCUACAAAGCAUCCCUUGGAAGUCCAUGCUGGGCAGACAUUGAACACAGUGCCUUAUUAUGUUUCCCCCAUGAACAACGCUUCAGUGUUUGGGUCAUACUCUAGAAUGGACUGACACUAGGACACACUCAGGACUUUUUAGUUGUAUUUUAUACCUGUAAUUUUAUCUCACAUAUCUUAGUAGGAUGGAGGGAAACAGAAGUCUGUUGUCAUCUACUGUCGCUGGUUAAUAAAGAAGGAGUUAGCGCAGGACUCGAAGCAGCUGGCUUCCACAGCUGAAGUUUUUCCUUUACGUUUUCAAUUAAGUUGCCAAUGUUAACAACUGGAGAAUGAUAUUUCCAGGCCCCAAGAAACUUUGCAUAGGAUUGAUUCUAAGAUGACACCAUGUGCUGGCAAGGAGUACUGGGGGACGACACAGUUGUUGUUUGAGUUUCAGGCAGUUGAGCUGAGGCAUUCAUAGGCCGUCUUAGAAGACCUUGUGGUAUGGUGCCACCUCUGACCACAAAGCAUCUGCCUCAUCCCUGCUUGGUGCACGAAGGGCCAGCCCUGCAGGGGCUGUAUCCAGCUCGGCCCUAGCCCAUCCUAGUGCUUUGCCCACUGUCAGUCCCACUCAUUUCACUUGGACACAGGAAAUGUUGAUAGAUAUUUCGUUAAAUUGGUGAGUUUGGUAAUAUGUUAGCUCUUGUUGGACAAGAUAGACGCCAUGUAAGGGGUUGAGGGUUAGGACACAGUAAAAUGAAUUACAAUAAUUUCACUGCUUUUUCAAAUAGUUUUGAGUGCUGGGCCUUUAAAACCCAAUUAUGCAUUUUUGUCGGAAAAGUAGGCACUGAAGCAUUGAAGUCAGGUAAGGAAACAUCCUCAUCGAUACCACUGUUCACCGAGGGUCUCAGGGCCACUUUGAGUGUGAUGAGAUACCCAGGAGCUUGUGUGUCCUUAACUGUCUGCACACAUGAGCUAGUUCUUUCUUAUUGCAGUGUCCUGUGAGACCGGCUCCAAGCACUGUUUAGAACAACUGCUCACUCUGACCUUGCUAUACAUCCACUUAAAGUGGAUCGUCAGACCUGGCAAGCCAGUCCUUAAGGCUUAGCUUCUGUGAAGGAAAGCACAGAAAGUGAAAGAAGCAGAAUUAGAAAGAGCGCUCCCCACUUGCAGUGCCCUUCUCACAGUGAAUUCAGACGAGGAAGAUCUGCUGCAACCAUUAUCUCUGUUCUUUGUGUAUCAUGCAUUUAAAAUGAGGUGGAGACGCAUUAGCAUACUGUGUAAAUACGGACCUUUUCAGAGUAAAACGUUAAUGGAAAUGCUUUCAGCUCAAACAGCAACAUCUUAGCUAUUUGUUAGUUCUUGUUUGUUGUCUUAUCAAAGUUUAAUGGAGACACUUUCAUAAUUGUUGUUGUGUGUACAUUUGAUUUUCAUAAAGAUGGUAGUAAGUCAAUGCAUUAACCCUCAUCUGUGUAUUAUUUGUUCACAAGUUCCAGCAGGUUGAAGGAACGACUCUCACAUCUGUCCUGAGGUAGAGAGUAGGGGGAGGGGACAAGGUACUUCCCCU
rnacentral:lncRNA from 1 species